rnacentral:rRNA from 1 species
GACGAACGCUGGCGGCGUGCUUAACACAUGCAAGUCGAACGGAAAGGCCCUUCGGGGUACUCGAGUGGCGAACGGGUGAGUAACACGUGGGUGAUCUGCCCUGCACUUUGGGAUAAGCCUGGGAAACUGGGCCUAAUACCGAAUAGGACCACGCGCUUCAUGGUGUGUGGUGGAAAGCUUUUGCGGUGUGGGAUGGGCCCGCGGCCUAUCAGCUUGUUGGUGGGGUAAUGGCCUACCAAGGCGACGACGGGUAGCCGGCCUGAGAGGGUGACCGGCCACACUGGGACUGAGAUACGGCCCAGACUCCUACGGGAGGCAGCAGUGGGGAAUAUUGCACAAUGGGCGCAAGCCUGAUGCAGCGACGCCGCGUGAGGGAUGACGGCCUUCGGGUGGUAAACCUCUUUCACCAGGGACGAAGCGUAAGUGACGGUACCUGGAGAAGAAGCACCGGCCAACUACGU